AAAAAGCUCGUAGUUGGAUCAGAGUUGGACAGUGCACGGUGGCCCCAUUUGUGUGGCUGGCUCCGGUCAGUUAUACGGUGGCGGAACAACCCCGUGCGCCAAACUGUCCACUCUAACAGACCGAAGCGGUUCCCUGUGAGUAGGCUCCUUAAUUGGGGCUGAAAGCGCCUACGCAUCAACCAUAUGCAUACGGGACGUCGGUCAAAGUUACUGUGAACAAAUCAGCGUGUCCAAGGCAGGCUUUCGCCUGAAUGUUCGAGCAUGGAAUAACAAGGGAUCGAUUCUCUCGGUUCUUUUUGUUGGUUUUUAACCCGAGAAGGAGAAAUUCAGGCCACGGUGUCUGAGUUGGGUUUCCCAGGGCUUCGGCUCUGGCCCCAAUUAGGCCGUGUCCUUACGGGAUCAAUAGGGACUGACGGGGUCGUACCUACUUCUGCGUCAGAGGUGAAAUUCUUAGAUCGCAGGAAGAGGAACUUCAGCGAAAGCAUUCGACAAGAGUGUCUUCAUUAAUCAAGAACGAGAGUGUGGGGAUCGAAGAUGAUCAGAUACCGUCGUAGUCCACUACUGUAAACAAUGCCGUCUC
rnacentral:rRNA from 1 species